rnacentral:rRNA from 1 species
UACGUAGGGUGCAAGCGUUGUCCGGAAUUAUUGGGCGUAAAGAGCUCGUAGGCGGUUCGUCGCGUCGGCUGUGAAAUCCCGAGGCUCAACCUCGGGUCUGCAGUCGAUACGGGCGGACUGGAGUACUGCAGGGGAGACUGGAAUUCCUGGUGUAGCGGUGAAAUGCGCAGAUAUCAGGAGGAACCCCGGUGGCGAAGGCGGGUCUCUGGGCAGUUACUGACGCUGAGGAGCGAAAGCGUGGGGAGCGAACAGG